GCUCAAAUUUGAAAUCUCACUGGCUUCCAGUGCGAAUUGUAGUUUAGAGAAACGUUUUCGGGGCUGACGGCUAGUACAAGUUCUUUGGAACAAGGCAUCAUAGAGGGUGAAAAUCCCGUCUUUGACUAGCUGCUCAGUUCUAUAUGAUACGUUUUCCAAGAGUCGGUUUGUUUGGGAAUGCAGACCAAAAUGGGUGGUAAAUACCAUCUAAAGCUAAAUAUUGGCGAGAGACCGAUAGCGAACAAGUACCGUGAGGGAAAGAUGAAAAGAACUUUGAAAAGAGAGUUAAAUAGUACGUGAAAUUGUCUAAAGGGAAACGUUUGAAACCAGUAUUGCGGGCAGGAACUCAGCCUUGGUUUACUAGGGUGUAUUUUUCUGUCUGCGAGUCAACAUCAGUUUUGUUUAAAGUAAAAAGCCGCAGGAAUGUAGCCUUAUGGUGUUAUAGCUUGCGGUCAUGCUUUGGGCGGGACUGAGGUCUGCAGCGUAUUUUGGGGAACUUGUCGCUUUGCAAAGUACCGGUGUUAACUGCAUGCAGAUAGCACUGAAUAUGAGCAAACCCGGCGGGCGUACCACACCAACGCUUAGGAUGUUGACGAAAUGGUUUUAAGCGACCCGUCUUGAAACACGGACCAAGGAGUCUAACAUAUAUGCAAGUAUUUGGGUGGUAAACCCUUAUGCGUAGUGAAAGCGAAAAGGUGGGAUCCUUUAUUGGUGCACCAUCGGCCGCGCCAGAUUAUUACUAUCUCGGCGUGAGUAUGAGCAUACAUGCUGGGACCCGAAAGAUGGUGAACUAUGCCUGAAUAGGGUGAAGCCAGAGG
rnacentral:rRNA from 1 species